rnacentral:rRNA from 1 species
GACGAACGCUGGCGGCGUGCCUAAUACAUGCAAGUAGAACGCACAGGAUGCACCGUAGUUUACUACACCGUAUUCUGUGAGUUGCGAACGGGUGAGUAACGCGUAGGUAACCUGCCUGGUAGCGGGGGAUAACUAUUGGAAACGAUAGCUAAUACCGCAUAAGAACAUUUACUGCAUGGUAGAUGUUUAAAAGGUGCAAAUGCAUCACUACCAGAUGGACCUGCGUUGUAUUAGCUAGUAGGUGAGGUAACGGCUCACCUAGGCGACGAUACAUAGCCGACCUGAGAGGGUGAUCGGCCACACUGGGACUGAGACACGGCCCAGACUCCUACGGGAGGCAGCAGUAGGGAAUCUUCGGCAAUGGGGGGAACCCUGACCGAGCAACGCCGCGUGAGUGAAGAAGGUUUUCGGAUCGUAAAGCUCUGUUGCUAAGGAAGAACGAGUGUGAGAAUGGAAAGUUCAUGAUGUGACG